rnacentral:rRNA from 1 species
AUUGAACGCUGGAGGCAUGCUUUACACAUGCAAGUCGAACGGUAACAGGCCUUCGGGCGCUGACGAGUGGCGAACGGGUGAGUAAUGCAUCGGAACGUGCCCAGUCGUGGGGGAUAACGCAGCGAAAGCUGUGCUAAUACCGCAUACGAUCUGCGGAUGAAAGCGGGGGACCUUCGGGCCUCGCGCGAUUGGAGCGGCCGAUGUCAGAUUAGGUAGUUGGUGGGGUAAAGGCUCACCAAGCCAACGAUCUGUAGCUGGUCUGAGAGGACGACCAGCCACACUGGGACUGAGACACGGCCCAGACUCCUACGGGAGGCAGCAGUGGGGAAUUUUGGACAAUGGGCGCAAGCCUGAUCCAGCAAUGCCGCGUGCAGGAAGAAGGCCUUCGGGUUGUAAACUGCUUUUGUACGGAGCGAAAAGGCUCCCUCUAAUACAGGGGGCUCAUGACGGUACCGUAAGAAUAAGCACCGGCUAACUACGUGCCAGCCGCCGCCUAACAC